rnacentral:rRNA from 1 species
GGAGUCUAACAUGUGCGCGAGUCGAAGGGUACAACUAAACCCUAAGGCAAAGUGAAAGCAAGGAGGGGUUCGGCCUCCGGCGCUCCUUCGCGGGAGGCCAGUCGGAACGUCGAACCCGCUCCAGGGAGGAUGGCGCGAGGACCUCGGUCCGCGCCCGCACUCCCGGGGCGCCCGGGACCUCGGUUCGGGGCGCACUCGGAGCGUACACGUUGGGACCCGAAAGAUGGUGAACUAUGCCUGACCAGGACGAAGUCAGGGGAAACCCUGAUGGAGGUCCGCAGCGAUUCUGACGUGCAAAUCGAUCGUCAGAGUUGGGUAUGGGGGCGAAAGACUAAUCGAACCAUCUAGUAGCUGGUUCCCUCCGAAGUUUCCCUCAGGAUAGCUGGCGCUCAUUUCGAACGCAGAGUCUCAUCCGGUAAAGCGAAUGAUUAGAGGCCUUGGGGCCGAAACGACCUCAACCUAUUCUCAAACUUUAAAUGGGUGAGAACUCCGGCUUGCUCGGACUUUCAAUCAAACAUUGAAGCCGAGAGGUUGGAUCACGAGUGCCUAGUGGGCCAUUUUUGGUAAGCAGAACUGGCGCUGCGGGAUGAACCGAACGCCGGG